GCCGAUGUAGCUCAGUUGGUAGAGCGCGUCCUUGGUAAGGACGAGGUCACCUGUUCAAACCCGGUCAUCGGCUCCA
rnacentral:tRNA from 1 species